rnacentral:lncRNA from 1 species
CUCAUAUGGAGUCUCUGGAUAGCUUCGGUUAAAAUUAAAAUCCUAAUCCUGAAGAUGUAACGAGCAAUUUGGUAAAAUAAAUUUGUCGUAAUGUUUUACGGUUGCGAAGGAGUAGUGGCCACAAGAAAAACAGUGUUUGGGGAGAUAAACUCUUACAACAUAAAGUAUUUGGUUACGCAGUUGUCAGUUUUUAAAGCGCAUACACUUUACGAUAUCAUAUUCUAAAUAUCUAAGCGACAUCUUUUGAAACAUCAAUAUUACGCAAGAAAAGAAUUAGGCGGAAGAAAAAAAAAAAAAAUAAUAAUUAAAAACCAAUUGUUCAGAGAACAAUUGUAGGUCUUUCCACUAGUAAAGAUCUAUUUUGAUAUUAAAAUAUUAAAAAUCAGUUUAAAAUGUUAGUUCCUAUGGCUUUAUGAUGUAUUUAUAUGAAUUUAAAGCAAAGGUCAAAAUCUAGAACGUCAUAUCAACCUAUGACCUUGACCUCAAUUUCAAGUUCACAAACCAAGG